AUUGAACGCUGGCGGCAGGCCUAACACAUGCAAGUCGAGCGAGCGGCGGACGGGGGAGUAAAGUCUGGGAAAAUGCCCGAUGGAGGGGGAUAACUCCUGGAAACGGUAGCUAAUACCGCAUACCAUCAGAUGUGCCCAGAUGGGAUUAGAUAGUAGGUGGGGUAACGGCGCACCAAGGCGACGAUCCCUAGCUGGGCUGAGAGGAUGACCAGCCACGCUGGAACUGAGACACGGUCCAGACGCCUACGGGAGGCAGAAGUGGUGAAUAGUGCACAAUGGGCGCAAGCCUGAUGCAGCCAUGCCGCGUGUGUGAAGAAGGCCUUCGGGUUGUAAAGCACUUUCAGCGGGGAGGCGUUACCCGCAGAAGAAGCACCGGCUAACUCCGUGCCAGCAGCCGCGGUAAUUC
rnacentral:rRNA from 1 species